rnacentral:rRNA from 1 species
AUUGAACGCUGGCGGCAGGCCUUACACAUGCAAGUCGAACGAGUGGCGGACGGGUGAGUAAUGUCUGGGAAACUGCCUGAUGGAGGGGGAUAACUACUGGAAACGGUAGCUAAUACCGCAUACCCUAGGAUGUGCCCAGAUGGGAUUAGCUAGUGGGUGGGGUAAAGGCUCACCUAGCCGACGAUCCCUAGCUGGUCUGAGAGGAUGACCAGCCACACGGGAACUAAGACACGGCCCAGCGUCCUACGGGAGGCAGCAGUGGGGAAGAAUGCACAAAGGGGGCAACCCUGAUGCAGCCAUGCCGCGUGUAUGAAGAAGGCCUGCAGGUUGUAAAGUACUUUCAGCGGGGAGGCGUUACCCGCAGAAGAAGCACCGGCUAACUCCGUGCCAGCGGCGGCGGUAAUUC